rnacentral:tRNA from 1 species
GAGGGUACAGCUCAGUGGUACAGCGCAUGCUCAGCAUGCACGAAGUCCUGGGUUCAAUCCCUAGUGCCUCCA